rnacentral:rRNA from 1 species
GACGAACGCUGGCGGCGUGCUUAACACAUGCGAGUCGAACGGAAAGGCCCUGCUUUUGUGGGGUGCUCGAGUGGCGAACGGGUGAGUAACACGUGAGUAACCUGCCCUUGACUUUGGGAUAACUUCAGGAAACUGGGGCUAAUACCGGAUAGGAGCUCCUGCUGCGUGGUGGGGGUUGGAAAGUUUCGGCGGUUGGGGAUGGACUCGCGGCUUAUCAGCUUGUUGGUGGGGUAGUGGCUUACCAAGGCUUUGAAGGGUAGCCGGCCUGAGAGGGUGACCGGGCACCUUGGGACUGAGAUACGGACCAGACUCCUAUGGGACGCAGCAGUGGGGAAUAUUGCACAAUGGGCGGAAGCCUGAUGCAGCAACGCCGCGUGCGGGAUGACGGCCUUCGGGUUGUAAACCGCUUUCGCCUGUGACGAAGCGUGAGUGACGGUAAUGGGUAAAGAAGCACCGGCUAACUACGUG